CCUACGGGGAGCAGCAGUGGGGAAUAUUGGACAAUGGGGGGAACCCUGAUCCAGCCAUGCCGCGUGUGUGAAGAAGGCCCUCGGGUUGUAAAGCACUUUCAGUGAGGAAGAACGCCUGGUGGUUAAUACCCAUCAGGAAAGACAUCACUCACAGAAGAAGCACCGGCUAACUCCGUGCCAGCAGCCGCGGUAAUACGGAGGGUGCGAGCGUUAAUCGGAAUUACUGGGCGUAAAGCGCGCGUAGGUGGCUUGAUAAGCCGGUUGUGAAAGCCCCGGGCUCAACCUGGGAACGGCAUCCGGAACUAUCAAGCUAGAGUGCAGGAGAGGAAGGUAGAAUUCCCGGUGUAGCGGUGAAAUGCGUAGAGAUCGGGAGGAAUACCAGUGGCGAAGGCGGCCUUCUGGACUGACACUGACACUGAGGUGCGAAAGCGUGGGUAGCAAACAGGAUUAGAUACCCGUGUAGUC
rnacentral:rRNA from 1 species